rnacentral:rRNA from 1 species
CAGUCGCCGCGGGAAUACAGAGGGUGCGAGCGUUAAUCGGAUUUACUGGGCGUAAAGCGUGCGUAGGCGUCUUCUUAAGUCGGAUGUGAAAUCCCUGAGCUUAACUUAGGAAUUGCAUUCGAUACUGGGAAGCUAGAGUAUGGGAGAGGAUGGUAGAAUUCCAGGUGUAGCGGUGAAAUGCGUAGAGAUCUGGAGGAAUACCGAUGGCGAAGGCAGCCAUCUGGCCUAAUACUGACGCUGAGGUACGAAAGCAUGGGGAGCAAACAGGAUUAGAUACCCCUGUAGUCCCUGUCUCUUAUAC